CACCGCGGUUAUACGAGCAGGCCCAAAUUGAUAUUACACGGCGUAAAGCGUGAUUAGAAAACUAUUAAACUAAAGUUAAACAUGUCUCAAGCUGUCAUACGCUACCGGAUAAAUGAAACCCCGCCACGAAAGUAACUUUAAUAUGUCUGAACUCACGAAAAUUAAGAAA
rnacentral:rRNA from 1 species